rnacentral:rRNA from 1 species
UACGAAGGGUGCAAGCGUUACUCGGAAUUACUGGGCGUAAAGCGUGCGUAGGCGGUUUGUUAAGUCUGUCGUGAAAGCCCCGGGCUCAACCUGGGAAUGGCGAUGGAUACUGGCGAGCUAGAGUACGGUAGAGGAGAGUGGAAUUCCCGGUGUAGCAGUGAAAUGCGUAGAGAUCAGGAAGAACAUCGGUGGCGAAGGCGCUCUGCUGGACCAUAACUGACACUCAGGGACGAAAGCUAGGGGAGCGAAUGGG